rnacentral:rRNA from 1 species
GAUGAACGCUGGCGGCGUGCCUAAUACAUGCAAGUCGAGCGAACGGACGAGAAGCUUGCUUCUCUGAUGUUAGCGGCGGACGGGUGAGUAACACGUGGAUAACCUACCUAUAAGACUGGGAUAACUUCGGGAAACCGUAGCUAAUACCGGAUAAUAUUUUGAACCGCAUGGUUCAAAAGUGAAAGACGGUCUUGCUGUCUUAUAGAUGGAUCCGCGCUGCAUUAGCUAGUUGGUAAGGUAACGGCUUACCAAGGCAACGAUGCAUAGCCGACCUGAGAGGGUGAUCGGCCACACUGGAACUGAGACACGGUCCAGACUCCUACGGGAGGCAGCAGUAGGGAAUCUUCCGCAAUGGGCGAAAGCCUGACGGAGCAACGCCGCGUGAGUGAUGAAGGUCUUCGGAUCGUAAAACUCUGUUAUUAGGGAAGAACAUAUGUGUAAGUAACUGUGCACAUCUUGACGGUACCUAAUCAGAAAGCCACGGCUAACUACGUG